UGAGAAGGGAGGAGUUAUUCAUCUCCUUAAGCUUUCAGGCCCCGGGGAGAAUUUACAGUAUGAUAUUAAGAUUGUUAUACACUAAGUUGGGAUGAUGAAAUUGAUAUAAACAAAUAGAGUUAAAAGCUACUUUAGAAAUAUUAUUUACACUUUAUGUCCCUUCUUUUUUAUCCAAGAUAGAAACGUUUCUGGAGAAAAUAACAGAAGACAUGGCAGGAGAAAUGAUUGAGAGCUUUUCCAGUUUGGCAUGGAAACAAAGCAAAGCAAUUUCAGUGUGGUAACAAGACUAAGGAGGAGACAGAUGCUGUGCGGGCAACAGUACCAGAGCUAAGGGAUGAGAAACUUCUCCAUAAGAUGUCCCUUUAUUGCUCCAGCAGCUAUUAUGGGCUGCGUCUCCCCAAGCAUGGCAGCUCACCACUGUGGAACCCUAAAUAGAAUGACACUCAGUGUUGAAUGGCAAGGCCUCUGGUCAUAAAUAAGAUAAGCCGAAAGACAUUUGAUGGUUAUCACAGAAAUGGACUUUCCUUACUUGGAAUUUUCCUGCCUAAACAUCCACAGGGAAAAGCUACAUGUUGGGACUUCAUAAUUCAUUUCAAGCAUUUUGUUUGCAAAUCUCAAAGCUUGAUUUUUUUUCUAAGUUUGCAGGUACUUCAAUAUUUGUAUUUCCAUUUCAGAUUUUUAAAAUUCAUUGCUUUAAAGAACUACAUCUGAAGAACAAUGUUUAGCUCUUUAUUUAUUAUUGUAUUUUAUUUAUCUAAAGACCAAUAUGUUGCUUCCUACUGAUAACAUCAGAUGAAUAUUAUCGUGAAGUUAAAUUAGCUUCUUCAACAGUGAGCUCUGUGGAAUAGAUGCACCUUUCCUUCUAGUGUGACCAUUUGAGAUGGAACAGACCAGAGGAUUUUCCAUCCCAUUGCUAGAAUAUGUUUCUGUGACAAAGUUCUAGCAAGUUUUAGUCCGUAAUCCAUUUCAAGAGAAAUUCCCAUUUCUGUUUUUUUUUCAAUUAUGUCUUUUAACUUAUAUUUUCUGGAUCUUAUUCCAUUUGAGUGAAAUGUGAAUAGAUGAAGAGAUGUGGUAUCAGAGCUCAUUAAACAAAACUUUUCUGGUAACAUGUUUCAUCCUAUUUAGUUAUUUGAAUUCAGAUAAGCUUAAAGGAAAAGAACAAAACAAAGCUAUAAAGAAAAUUGGAAGUUAUUCAUUGUCAUUCAUCAUAAACAAGCUCAGAGGCUGGGAUAUUUGGCACGAUGACAAUGAAACUGCAGGAAAUUGAGCACACUCCAAUGUUGGUGAGGACGGUCCAUCCAUUCUGCAUAUGUCUGCGUCUUUGGGACUUAGAGUCUGGCAAGUAGAAGAGGGAUUUCAUCUUGUUGGAAAAUAUAAGUUGGAAAAUCAACCCACAUGAAAUUGCAGAAGCCAAGGGGUUUCACUGAUGGAAAAAUGGAGAAGGAAGAUCUGAUGAAACAGCAAGUCCUUAAGAGUGGGAGCCAGAAGUUUAAGUUGUAACAGGUUUUGGAUAAGAUUCAGAACUUAGAGGAUAACGAACUGCAGAAAAAUUCUUUGGAAGAUAAUGACUAGAGAAAAAUUCUGGGUCAAAGGCAGCUAUUGUGGUGCAUAGUUAUUCAGAUUUCAAAUUUGAAAAGAAAUCAUUGUUUCAUAGGCCGAAAGGUGAGCCACUGGUAUCUGUCAUCAGCAAACAGGAAACAUGAAGAAGAAGUACAUUUAUUCUAUAGGUUGCAACACACAGUACAAAUAUACCAUUAGAAUACCUAAAAUGCAAGAUGAAUCAGUCCCGUGAAUUGAAACUUUGAUUUUGUUCUUGAGCUAGUAAAGUUUACAGAGUUCUAUGAGGAAGGACAUCUGUAAAAUAUCUUACAAUACGUUGUCUUCUAUUUUGAGAGAAAGGGAAAGUAUCUUUGCACUGUGAAUAUACCCUUUGUAUUAUUAACUGUGAGGACAUGACAAGGCUAAACAAUUGCUUCUUUCUUGUCAAAGUUUCGUUUGCUUUGGUUAGUGCCAUUGUUUGAGAAAAUUAAACAAGUUUCCAUGUUUUAGGCUUCUUGACGUUUUUUGAUGUUCCACUUAACUGCAGUGGAAUAACUCGAUGGAACAAUUCAAGGCAGCUGUGCUCUGAUCCUCAGUUGCCCUCCAAGGAUAACAUGACACAUUUGAUAAACACAUUUCCUUUAACACCAAGUUCUCCAGGUCAGGCAGGCAUAGCAUAUAGAUGAAACUGAUCUGAGCCUUCAUCCUGAGGGAGAAGAGGGUUAGAGAUGAAGGUAAACCUGGAUCCCGGUUUUAACCCUGCAACAUACUAGUCUCCUGAACUUGAGUAUUUGUAAGUACAGAAUCUGAGAUUAGCUUUGCCCAUGGCUUUCCACACAUUGAUAUUUGAUGGGACCUGACCCUUAAAUAAUCCCAAGUCAUAGAAAAAGAAUUUUGUGGAAUAGUUGCACAGAGCAUUUGCUUACUCAGUUCUGUUGCCCAGGAGCCCAAACGGUAGAGGGAGGAGAAUGUGAAUUCUGGAAUUAGGAAGACUUGAGCUUGAUUUCACCUUCUGCCAUUGAACAACUGCUGAGUAAUGGAGAAAGCUCACAAAAGAAGAGAAGGGACAUGCUUCACUCAGGUAGGCAAUAUUGCUUCUUUAACCCCAGGUGCAGCUAUAGAGGCUUCCAAGUAUAUUAAGGUAAGAAGGCAUUUGAGAAUGGAGUUUACGCUGCAGGUACCCAUGUCUUCCCGCAUACUCCGGAGACUAGAUUUGGGUUUGAAUCGAUUCUGUGGCUUUCUUUUACAAAUUUCACUCCAGCCUAACAUUGUCUCAACAUUGUCCUCGCCCACUACCAAUAAUUUCCACUUUAGUAACAACAUUCAACUAUUCUUGAGAAUAGCUGAGCCUCAAAUUGGGUAACACCACCUCAUAGUGUCAUAGAACUGAGAUCCCGUGACCCUACCAACCUAUAGGUGUGCAGUGCAUCAGCUGCUGCAACUUGUUACCCAACUGCUGCCUCUGGUCAAUUAACAAAAAUAAACUUCUUUCAUAAAGGCAACUUGUUGGCAAAGAUUUUCUUACUUAGUAAGUCUUUCCACCUCUGGUAUUAUAACAGAGAGGCCAAAACAAAAUUAAAAUUAAGAUUGUCAUCAGUAAGUUCUCAGGGUUAAGUACGUAUACCGCUUUUGAGUUAUCUUUAAAACAACUUAAGCCAAAUCCUCCCUUAAAAAUAAUGGUUUGAAUUAAAUCUCAUGUCUCCCAACCUGCAAUCCAUGAUGAACAAGCUGAACUACAGCCUUAAACAACAGAGAAAUCCUUGGAACCAACAUUUAAUUAAAAAGACCAUUAGACGGUGCCUCAUUGGAAGCACAGAACAUGCUUAAAUGAAUUUUUCAAUAUGUAGAUAAAUGUUUUACCAUUAGGGUUUCUUAAAGGAAGUAAAAAUUGGCAACUCAUUAAGAGUGUACAUAGGUACUAUAAACAGACAACAAAGUGCCUCUGGCAUGUUUCAUGAUUUAGACAUCAAAAGAAAAAGUCAUAAAAUCUACUUGCAGUAAAACAAAGUCCAUUUUUCCUCAACAAGGCUGGUAUCUAUUAGCUACCUCAUAUGUGGAGAAAGAAAAGUUACCAGUCCUUUAAUCAGAUAUAUCUGAAAUGUUUUGGGAAUAAAUAUGAAAUAGCGAAGAGUGUAUGUAUUUGAUGUUUUCUAUUUUUUACACUAUACAAAUGAGAAUGACCUUGGUGGUUUAAAACAUUCAUCCUCUCUGUUUCUAAUAAUACCUACAAUCAGUUGUGUGUAUUAAAAGCUUUGUUAAUAAUCUACAAGUGGUAGGUGACCUCAGCAUUUAGUUCUGUGGUUUAAAGCAUGACCAAGAUUGUGUUUUUGUUUUCCCCAUUUUACAGCUAAAAAGUAUGAUGUUAAAAAUACUGACAAAAACGAGUUGUUGCUAUAAAUAUGUGAAUCAAAUGGGAAUUUUCUGGACUUUGUUAUUAUGAACAUUGCACAAAGAAAAAGCCAAUGCAUCACACCAGAAUGUCAGUGGGAUAGAGUACUGAGCCAAAGGAAAAGGGCAAAGAGCCCACUUUGGUACACCUGGAGUAGAUUACACACAUGGGGUUGAUCUUUCCCUUGAAGCCAAAAAGCUCUGGUAAUGUGCUCUCCACAGUACAUGAUAGAGCAGGGUAAAGCUGGAAAUUAAUCACCCAGUGCUACCAGAGCAGUUCAUUACAUGCAAUUGACAGCUUCCUCUCUGUAUUUUUAGAUGGCUAAGAAUCAAGUAGUUGCACAUCAAAAUGUGAUUUUUUUUCUUGCUUCUUGGCACAGGACCCGUAUCUGUCAUCAUUUCAUGUCCUCAAAGGCCUGAGAGAAGCUGCCAUCCUUGGGCAACAAAGGAUGCCAUGCAAAGCAGCUCAGAACUUGAGUUGUUUCAACAGAUGCUGUUUUAUGUUUUGCCAAAGAAUGGCCCCUUUUAUUUCUGUCAUGAAUGCAGUCUUUCUUUCAGUUUCUAAAUGUUUGCCAGUAUUAACCCUAAUCCUUAUCUGUCAUUCUUUUAGGAUGAUGGGCUGUCCUUUUUCCUUUGGAACCAGCAUAACCUUCACCAUGUAAAUAUGGAUUGCAAAGAAAUGGAAACGUGGUGCUGUUCACCUUACAGCCCCUGAUGAUUUCUUAUAGUGGGGGAGAGGGGGAUUGCACUUCAAGGUCAGAGUAGCUGAGCCACGUUAUUCCAGUGUAAGAAAAAAUGCUAACAUUGAAAUGAGCAAUUUUCCCCUGUAAAGAUUCUCUGCCUAGGGGAAUAGAAAGAUCAGAAAAGGGAGCUGGUGGAGGAAAGAACUAGAAUAAACAAAGCAAGCUCAGAACAAUUUAUUCCUAUGUUUGUUUACUGAAAUAGAACCAGGAAGGACCGAUGAAGGUCUGAAUUAAUGUAAUUUAUAAGAAGAGAGGCUCCCCUCCAAGGCAAUGAAGUGAUCUCUUUCCAAAUAUGUAACCAGGAGUGGCUCCCUAUAAACCCAAGGCAUGUCAGGGCAAAGAUGGUAUUCCAGAUCUUUACAGCCUCCCCACUUUUUGCCUCAGAGAGAGUUCCUAAUUCACCAUUUAGGGAUUCAGAAUUGUUAAUCAAACUUGCUCUGAUGAAAUUUUGAGGGUUGUUCUGUUUCUUGUCACAAGUUGAAUUGUUCAAAAGCACUGCAUCACAGAUCUGAUUUUCCGCAUUGCGCUAGCAUUUUCUUACCUUGGGGCAGGCAAAGGGCUAGUCAAACUUUAAAAUUGGAACUUCUUCCAUUUUUUUCCCUCAGAGCAUUUGAAGUUUUUUUGUUUUGUCUGUUUGCUUUGUGUCUGUUACAUUUCUCUAUUUUGCUUUUCAAGUGCAAAACUACUGUGCUGGAGAUGAUAGAGGGGAUACAUAAAGGGGGAAAAUACAUGCUCAAGGAAGUUCACAGAGUGGAUACUCUAUAUCCAAUAAUAACAGUGAGGAAAGAAAGAAUGCAGUUGAAGAUAUGAGGGGCAGAGUAAUACAGAGAUUUUCACAGAUUUAGAGGAUUGCUGCCCAAAUCCUUCUGUUUCUCUCUUUUUGUUCCUAGUGAGAGUUGUUAAAAUAGCUAACAUCAACAUGCCUAUUCUGCACAGAGGAAGGAUAUAUGAAGAAAGCAAGAAACCACUAGCCUAUGUGCAGGGUGAUAUGCCUUACAGCCAUGCUCAGUUACUAUUUUUGAUCGUGGGCCUAGAAAUAACCAUCUGGGCAAUCAGACUUUUGCAUUGACAUGCAAUGUUGGCUAAAUCCACAGGCAGCUGGCUGAGUACUAUUUAAACUCAGUGCUGAGAUGGGAGUAGGCCCUGACAGGCAGUAGUUAGGGGACACUCAUCUAUUCUACCCAUGUCAACAGUAAUGAUACUGUAAUUCUUUCCAAAAUGUGGUCCUUUUUGCUAUGUUUUGACAAGCUGGCUGUUAUUCUAACUUUCUGUAUUAUUGGAAACACACAGACUAGACAUUGAUACACAUAUAUGCAUAUGCAUGUGUUUAUAUGGCUGUAUACAGUUAUGGAAGAAUCCAUGAGAGUCAAUCAUCCAUAUUUAUUAAGUAUGUACACUAUGCAAAGCACUUUAUUGUGUGAUAUAGAAAAAUAUGGAAAAAUUGUAAGCACACUAAGUCCAGGAGAGGUUGAUUCACCUAUUUUCCAGAACCUCACUUUGUGUUUCUAUUAAGUGACGUAUAGGGAUCUGGUGGCAUCCAAUAUCAUUUCUAGGUCUUUAAUUCUAUGAUUCCAUCAUUUUGGAUGGAAAUUAAAUAUACUGUUAAAGACAUAUGGACUGGAUUCAUGGUUACAAGCAUAAGCUUUGGUGUCAGAUUCAUUUUAAAUACAAGUGCGGCUUCUGCCACUUUAAAGUUCUAUGACCCUGUGGCAUUUAUUAAAUUGGGCUUUAGUAUCCCCAACUAUAAAAUAGGAAAUUGUAAUUGUGAUCUAUCUCAUAGGGUUGUUUUAUAUAUUGAAUGUGAUAAAGCAUGUAAAGCAUUUUUCAGAAAUUGUGGUAAAGGACAAUUAUUACAAAAAUGUUAGCGCUUUUAUGCUAUCAUGAUGGUAGUUAUAGAAGCAUUGAAAACUGGGAAAAGUAAGUCAGCAGAACUCAAUAAACUUGAUUCCUUUGCACUGCC